UACGUAGGGUGCAAGCGUUGUUCGGAAUUACUGGGCGUAAAGCGCGCGUAGGCGGCUACCUAAGUCGGAUGUGAAAGCCCCUGGCUUAACUGGGGAAGUGCACCCGAAACUGGGUAGCUAGAGUGCAAAAGAGGGUCGCGGAAUUCCCGGUGUAGAGGUGAAAUUCGUAGAUAUCGGGAGGAACACCGGUGGCGAAGGCGGCGACCUGGGUUGACACUGACGCUGAGGCGCGAAAGCGUGGGGAGCAAACAGG
rnacentral:rRNA from 1 species